GUGGGUGUCUUACUCUUUCAGAGUCUGGCCUGGGCCUCCUCACACAAUAGUGUGACUGUUUCAAAAGGGCAAAAGGGAGCCCCCGGGCUCCUCAGGGCAUGGGAUCCUGCAAGGCAAGUCAGAAAAGCAGUGUCCGUUGACAGGAGAUGGGGCCUCAGGACAGAACGAUUUGUCAGGAGUCACGGCUGUCACAGUCUGUCACUCACGGGAUCCUUUCUAAGACGGCAACUUCACUCUUAACUUUUCUUUUUUUUUUGAUUAUUAUCCUUGGCUAACAAACUACAAAUUCUGCACAAAAUGUGUUUAUUCAUGAAUCUAUCUCUACCACCGAGAAGAGAACCUAGAAUGGUGGGUGUUCAAUAAAUAUUUGUUAAGUAACAAAGACAUUGAUUUUAAAAUGUUUUCCAGAACCCUUCGUCCUUAGGAUUUCUAUAACUUUGGUCACACCUUUACUGUUAAAAAGUACUUUUCAGGAGUUCCUGUUACAGCUCAGCGGGUUAAGAAUCUGACUAGUGUCUAUGAGGUUGCAGGUUCAAUCCCUGGCCUUGCUCAGUGGGGAUCCGGCGUUGCUGUGACUGUGGUGUAGGCCAGCGGCUUCAGCCCCGAUUAGACCCUCUAGCCUGGGAACCUCCAUGUGUCCGGGGAGCGGCCCUAGAAAAGACCAAAAAGAAAAAAGGGAAGUUUUAUGCUUUCUGUCUCAUUCUCUUUUUUGCGACUUGUCAUGCAUGGUGUUUUUGAUUUCUUAUUUGACGUCCUUCUAAGUGAACCUAAUAUUUUAGAUUAUUAGAUUAAAUAUCACCAGUCAUCCUUACAUUGUGCAAUGCCCAUUUUAAAUGCAAAUAUAAGAGCAUUAUGCGAAUGUGCAGAGCAGUGAAAUUACAGUUUGUAUUUGUAGCUCAAACAUGCAUACAGUUUUUGUUGUUACCGAAACAGCAGAAAUGCUGGAUGAAGUCAACGCAACUGUUUUUAGCUUCGCGUGUUGAUGUGCCCUCAUUCUCCCAACACUCUGCCUUUGGUUCACUGAUGAGGGAGCGAAGACUUGAAAGGAGAAGAAAUCUAGGGUUGCCCUCUUUCCCUUUCUUUCUUUGUCAUUAUUUUUGGACUUAGUGGUUGUUGGCUAAUUCAGAAGUAACAGGAAUGAGAAAGGCUCUAGUAGGGCUCCUUAGUCAAUGGUUAAAUACCAUUUCCACUCGGAGCACCGUUCUUCUGCAUUCAAAUCAAGUUCUGGUCCACAGAGCAAGGUCUCUCAGUGCUGUGAGCGCCCCGCCCCAGCAGAUGGAAUUCACUCGCCUUGUUCCUGGCUGGAGUCGAACUGAGCUCCCGGGCAUCAUGGGCAACGUGGGAGUUCUGUGCUCAUGGAACAAUCAAGAAUGUUAUAUGCAAAUGGAACAGCAAGAAAGAGUGGACACUCAUCCGCUAUCUCUCUCCUCUGCUCACACACAUGCUCCCUUGUCCCAUCAGUGUAACUAUGAAAUCCAAGUUUAAAGAUGAAAUGAUUAAAGAUUUCAGAAGGGCAACAGCAAAGCAUUAAAUCAAGUGUGCUGUGACUAUGCAGAUCUCCAGGUUUGGUUGGUUGGUUGUUUUUCUUUUUAGGGCCCAACACUCAGCAUAUGGAAGUUCCCAGGCUAGGGGUCGAAUCAGAGCUAGAGCUGCCAGCCUACACCACAGCUCACGGCAACACUGGAUCCUUCACCCACUGAGUGAGGCCAGGGACUGAACCCGCAACCUCAAGGAUACUAGCCUGGCGGGUAACGCCCGGAGCCACAACGGGAACUCCUACUUGUCCUUUUAAUGGCUCCUCAUUGGUAAUGUAGUCCAGGCAGUAUGAUAUAGGGAAUAUAAAGCUUCAGUCCUCAGACUCUUACAAGCUCUGGCAAGUGAGCAACUGGCAUGGUUUUCACCAUGUUAGGAGCCAGAUGUGGUGGCUUUGCCUUGGCCUUGGUGAGCCUGUCCUCUGCCCUCCUUUGCAAUGGCAUUUCAUUCAUUAGCGUUUCUUCGUUCAAGGCCAGAUUCUUUCUAUCUUUCCUUUUUGCCUUCCUUCCUUUCUUCAUCCCUUCCUUAAACUCAAUUAGGGUGUUACAAGUAAUUUGUGCCAAAACAAUUGAUUUGACUCCUAAUUUUUCUGGCUGGCAAUUAGUUGAGAAAAAACCAGAUAAGCAGAAAACAGAAACUUGCUCUGUUCUACCAUCUAUUUUUGUCUUUUUAGGGCCACACCAGUGGCAUAUGGAAGUUCCCAGGCUAAGGGUCUACAGCUCGCAGCAAUGCUGGAUGCUUACCCCACUGAGUGAAGCCAGGGAUCAAACCCACGUCUGCAUGGGUACUAGUUGGGUUUGUAACUGCUGAGCCACAAUGGGAACUCCAGAUGUGUAUUUUAAUAUUGAUUCAUCUAUCAGAUGUCUGUUGAUGAAAAAAGCCUCGGUGGUAAAACAGUAUGGACAAUAUAAACAAUGUCCUUUUUGGAACCAAACUUGGCAGGGAAACCCAUCCCCAGAUGCUGGGUCGUGGUGAAGGAGAGUGCAGCGUUCAUUGCUGGGCCCCAAGCACGGAGUCCAGAGCCGCUGGUGCUCAAACACCCAAACUGCCCAAUGGGUUUCUGCAAAGCAUUUUUAAAGGCAAGGUGAGGGAGGGGCAUCCCAGGUUUUCGAUCUGCUUGUGUGCAGUUUUCUGAUUUGGCUGAUGGUGAAGUAACAGGGGUUAAUAUUAUCAGUCCUUAGGUGCCAGUAUGACUGGGAGCUCCACACCAGUGGUUAUCAAGUAGUUAAUUUCUCCCAUUGAGUGGGGGGGUCAGCAUCGUUAAAACUACUCAGGGAAUGCGCCUCAGGUACCUGUCUAGGUACUUUGGAGAGGAGCUAGAGCCAGGGGGGUGGGGUGGGGGGUGGCCUGUCCCCUGAAGUCCCCUUAGGGUCCUGCUCAGUUACAUUUCCUGCUCUCAGAGAGCUUACACAUUCAUGGGGAAAAAACAAUACAUAAAUUAUUUAACAAAUAAGUUCCAAAAAAAAAAAAAAA
rnacentral:lncRNA from 1 species